CUGCCUUUGAGUUGCUCCAGGGGGCUACUAUAUCUACUAAACUGGACCUUUGCAAUGCAUAUCAUCUGGUGGUACCCAUUGGCCAUUAUGAGUAUUAAGUUAUGCCUUUUGGUUUGGUAAAUGCUCCUGCAGUAUUUCAGAAUUUGAUUAAUGAUGUGCUAAGAGACAUGCUAAACAGAUUUGUAUUUGUAUACUUGGAUGAUAUUCUUAUCUUUUCCAAGAACCUCCAGGAACACAUGCAGCAUGUUCGCCUGGUCCUCCAGCAGCUCCUGAGAAACCAUCUCUUUGUCAAACUGGAGAAGAGUGAGUUUCAUGUUCAAGAGGUUUCCUUUUUGGGUUUCAUCGUGUCUAAAGGUCAUAUCCAGGUGGACCUGCAAAGACCCAAGCAGUUAGAGAUUGGCCUCAGCCCACCUCUGCCAAGCAGGUACGUUUUCUUGGCUUUUCCAAUUUCUAUCGAAAGUUAAUUUCAGUGCAAUUGCUGCUCCACUUACAGCUCUUACUAGGAAAAAUGUCAAGGGUUUCCAGUGGACAGAAGAGGCUGAAAAGGCUUUCUGCAAACUGAAAGACAGAUUCACCUCAGCACCCAAACUUACCCGCCCAGACCUUGAGUCACACUUCAUAGUGGAGGUCGAUGCUUCUGAGGUAGGAGUGGGAGCUGUACUUUCCCAGGGUGCCAUAAGAGACAACAGGUUGCAUGCAUGUGCUUUAUUUUCACAUAAGCUCUCAUCUGCGGAAAGAAAUUAUGACAUUGGUAACAGGGCAUUAUUAGCAGUCAAACUAGCAUUGGAGGAAUGGAGGCACUGGUUGGAGGGAGCCAAACACUCCUUUGUUGUAUGGACAGAUCACAAGAAUCUAGCCUAUAUCCAAGAAGCCAAGAGACUUAACUCUCGCCAGGCCCGAUGGGCUUUAUUCUUUAACUGCUUUGAUUUUGUUCUCUCCUAUCGACCAGGUUCAAAGAAUCAAAAGCCUGAUGCUCUCUUCAGGCAGUUUGACCCACCCAGCAUGAUUUCAAGCCCAGUGAGGAUCAUCCCCCCCUCCAAGAUUGUGGCACCAGUCAGAUGGGGAAUAGAGUCCAUUGUCAGAAAGGCACAGCAGCAGGAGGCUGACGCAGGUACCAAGUCCUGUUGGAAAAUGAAAUCUGCAUCUCCAUAAAGUUGGUCAGCAGCAGGAAGCAUGAAGUGCUCUAAAACUUCCUGGUAUAUGGAUGCGUUGACCUUGGACCUCAGAAAACACAUUGGACCAACACCAGCAGAUGACAUGGCACCCCAAACCAUCACUGACUAUGGAAACUUUACACUGGACCUCAAGCAACGUGGAUUGUGUGCCUCUCCUCUCUUCCUCCAGACUCUGGGACCCUGAUUUCCAAAGGAAAUGCAAAAUUUACUUUCAUCAGAGAACAUAACUUUGGACCACUCAGCAGCAGUCCAGUCCUUUUUGUAGCGAGACGCUUCUGACGCUGUCUGUUGUUCAAGAGUGGCUUGACACAAGGAAUGCGACAGCUGAAACCCAUGUCUUGCAUACGUCUGUGCGUAGUGGUUCUUGAAGCACUGGCUCCAGCUGCAGUCUACUUUUUGUGAAUCUCCCCCACAUUUUUGAAUGGGUUUUGUUUCACAAUCCUCUCCAGGGUGCGGUUAUCUCUAUUGCUUGUACACUUUUUUUCUACCACAUCUUUUCCUUCCUUCGCCUCUCUAUUAAUGUGCUUGGACACAGAGCUCUGUGAACAGCCAGCCUCUUUUGCAAUGACCUUUUGUGUCUUGCCCUCCUUGUGCAAGGUGUCAAUGGUCGUCUUUUGGACAACUGUCAAGUCAGCAGUCUUCCCCAUGUUUGUGUAGCCUACAGAACUUUGUGCAGUUUUAACUUCCUGUUUGUUUUUAUACUUUAGAUGCCUUACAACAACAACAAGUGAAAGCUGAGAAAAUUGAGGCCUCAGAGAUCGUCUUUGCUGUGACAGUGAAAAUAUGGCUCCGUUGUGCCCGAAACCGUGAAGUCAAACCAUAUGUACUGUACCGUCAUGUUUGUAUACCGUUACACCCCUACUAAUUAAAAUAUACAGUUAUAAGGUUAUUAUUUAACUGUUACAGUUUCAAGCUACUCAUUUUAAAUUGUGUUUCAGUUUUUUAGAGUGCUUCCUCGUGUCACCAUGUGUAAAAUCUUGAAAUCAAAACAUUCUCAGAUCUGAACAUGAAGGUUGAUCACAGUUUUCCAGAAUAUUACUGAAGACCCAGAUGCUGAAGCAACGCUUUCUUUUUCUAGCCCUGUCCAUUACCAGUUCUGGGUUUUUUGGUCAGCAGCUACAGUAUGUUGAGUUAAGCAAUUUAUAAUUUCCCAUGGUAGGGGCAGGCUGCUGCAUGAACACAUUUUCAUAUCUGAAAUCUCAAGAGAUUGACACAGAAUGGUCUCAAUACCAAAGUGUCAUCAUCACCAAGGGUCAUCAUACACAUACUCUCAGCUGAUUCUUUGGGAAAAAAAAAAGAAAAAAAGAAAAAGAAAACGCUGCUGUAAAAAUUCAUUUAAAACCUGAAUGUGCAUAUCAUGAUGGUAAUGUCAUAAAUGCUUGGUUUGUGAUAAAUGUGGCAUUCUAGAGACACUAGGUUGUCUGGAGAAAGCAGGUACAGUAGUUUCAUAGCAAUGAUGUUGUGUGAUCUAGUUGUGUUAGACUUGAACACCAUCUAUGACUCAUGUUACUUAAUCCCAGUGAUCCUGUUUAAAGUCUAACUGAGUAGGAGUACAACAGAUAUACAUAUAAA
ensembl:lncRNA